GCACUGCCGAGGAGUCUUGCAAUAGGACGAAACGGCCGUCCAGUGC
rfam:Schistosoma margrebowiei strain Zambia genome assembly, scaffold: SMRZ_scaffold0000585